UCUACUUCCAAGAAAACAAACAUUAUUAUUAUUCCGAGGAAAAUUAUCAGCUAUUACGUUUAACGUUUAAAGUUUUUAUUCCGCUUACUGUUAAACUCGUUCUAGAAUUUUCGACUCUUAAAUUUUCCGGGAAACAAAUCUUAAAAAGAAGAAACAUGUCAAAGAUGCUGGUGAUUUUUUUUAUUUUUGGAAUUUUUGGCGCUGUUAUUAGUCAGUUUGACGAUUGCAAUCAUCCGUGCAAUCUUAAAAAAGAAGGCCAAUGCUGCGACGGUUAUAACUGCUACAAAUUUUCAGAAAAAGUUGCGCUUUGUACGACGCCGGAAGAUUGUGAUGAAAUUAUGGAUCAUUUCAAAGAGACAGGUGCUUUGUUGUAAAAUUUUAUUAUUGUUAUUUUAGUGGAUAAAAUAAAAAAUAAAUUAAUUUGAAGAGCGAA